GUGGGGAAUCUUCCGCAAUGGACGAAAGUCUGACGGAGCAACGCCGCGUGAGUGAUGUAGGUCUUCGGAUUGUAAAGCUCUGUUAAUCGGGACGAAAGAGCCUAGUGUGAAUAAUGCUAGGAAGUGACGGUACCGGAAUAGAAAGCCACGGCUAACUACGUGCCAGCAGCCGCGGUAAUACGUAGGUGGCAAGCGUUGUCCGGAAUUAUUGGGCGUAAAGCGCGCGCAGGCGGAUCUGCCAGUCUGUCUUAAAAGUUCGGGGCUUAACCCCGUGAUGGGAUGGAAACUACAGAUCUAGAGUAUCGGAGAGGAAAGUGGAAUUCCUAGUGUAGCGGUGAAAUGCGUAGAUAUUAGGAAGAACACCAGUGGCGAAGGCGACUUUCUGGACGAAAACUGACGCUGAGGCGCGAAAGCCAGGGGAGCGAACGGGAUUAGAAACCCUUGUAGUCC
rnacentral:rRNA from 1 species